CGGACGGGGGAGUAAUGUCUGGGAAACGUGCCUGAUGGAGGGGGGUAACUACUGGAAACGGUAGCUAAUACCGCAUAACGUCGCAAGACCAAAGAGGGGGACCUUCGGGCCUCUUGCCAUCGGAUGUGCCCAGAUGGGAUUAGCUAGUAGGUGGGGUAAAGGCUCACCUAGGCGACGAUCCCUAGCUGGUCUGAGAGGAUGACCAGCCACACUGGAACUGAGACACGGUCCAG
rnacentral:rRNA from 1 species